GAUGAACGCUGGCGGCGUGCUUAACACAUGCAAGUCGAACGAAGACAUCUGAGUGCUUGCACUGGGAUGGACUGAGUGGCGGACGGGUGAGUAACGCGUGGGUAACCUGCCUUAUACAGGGGGAUAACAGUUGGAAACGACUGCUAAUACCGCAUAAGCGCACGGUAUCGCAUGAUACAGUGUGAAAAACUCCGGUGGUAUAAGAUGGACCCGCGUCUGAUUAGCUUGUUGGUGAGGUAACGGCCCACCAAGGCGACGAUCAGUAGCCGGCCUGAGAGGGUGAACGGCCACAUUGGGACUGAGACACGGCCCAAACUCCUACGGGGAGGCAGCAGUGGGGAAUAUUGCACAAUGGGGGAAACCCUGAUGCAGCGACGCCGCGUGAGUGAUGAAGUAUUUCGGUAUGUAAAACUCUAUCAGCAGGGAAGAUAAUNACGGUACCUGACUAAGAAGCACCGGCUAAAUACGUGCCAGCAGCCG
rnacentral:rRNA from 1 species